rnacentral:tRNA from 1 species
GGAGAGUAUAGCUCAGUGGUAGAGCACGUGCUUAGCAUGCACGAGGUCCUGGGUUCAAUCCCCAGUACCUCCA